UACGAGUGCUUCAAGCGUUAUCCGGAAUCAUUGGGCGUAAAGGGUGUGUAGGCGGCUUUGUUAGUCUUGCGUCAAAUUCCUCGGCUCAACCGAGGGCGUGCGCGGGAAACGGCAAGGCUAGAGGACGGGAGAGGUCUCUGGAACUCAUGGUGUAGCGGUGAAAUGCGUUGAUAUCAUGGGGAACACCAAAAGCGAAGGCAAGAGACUGGCCCGCUCCUGACGCUGAAACACGAAAGCGUGGGGAGCAAACAGG
rnacentral:rRNA from 1 species